rnacentral:misc_RNA from 1 species
AGAGGACAUAGGUAUUUAUAGUAGAAUUAUUAAUCCUACCAGUAUCAAUAACAUGUUUCAAUCACUUGUAUUUUAUAGUAAACGAUUUCAACUUGUGAUCUUUGAAUUUCAACCCACAUAAUCUCACUGAAAACACAAUUCAAAGCUCUUACCAGCCUUCAAUGUUUGUUUCUGCCAAAAACAGAUGUCAAAAUCAAAAACAACGUCAAAAUUAGCAGAGAAGAGUUCUACAAAAAAAAUUUUGAGAUGGCAAGGGCUGACACGGCACUUGGGUGUCAAACAAUGUUGUUGGGUGAUGGUGUGAUUGGAUACUGACAUGAAGGCGACAUAGCACUAAAUCAGAUGGAACACAUAGCAUAAUAGCAGUGUGAACUCAGGUGCAGUUCUUGAUUGGUUGAAACUCGACCUGCCUCGUUUGAGUUGGGUGACAAAUGGGAGUUCCGACAGUGGAAACAAUGUCAUUGGCAAAGGUGACACGCGAGUUAGAUGGAACACAGCAUAAUAGCAGUGUGAAUCAGCUGCAGUUCUUGAUUGAUUGAAACUUGACUAGUCUUGUUUGAGUUUGGGCGACAAAUGGGAGUUCCA